CAGGUCACUCAGAGUGCUUGACACCUCUGGCCUAGAACAGAGAAAUUGGCAUUUAGAACUUAUUGAAUCCUGUCUGGAAACAUUGUACAGAUGUAAACAAACUGGAUUUGGAGUCAGAGAACAUGGAUUCAAAUUCCAGUGUGACACCAAUUGUGUGAGCUUGGAGGGAGAUGGACGGCCUGCGCUCCCAGAUCUCUCCCACCUGUGGAUGGGCGGCUCUGUCUAGGAUUCCAUUGAAUUAAAAAGUGGCAGCAUUUAGCAGUCGCUUUAAGGUCUGCCAUUUACGGUGGCCGUACACUGCCCGGCCCUUCCUGACGCCAAAGUGGAGAGGUCAGGGGCAUCCCAGCAGCUCAGAAAAGAAUCGUUCCCAGGCUUCGGCUGUCUGAAAGAGGCAACUUCACCAACUUUGGCUCCCCGCCCUUACACGGACUGUGGCGAGGAUUCCAUCGCCUGCUACUCCAGGGACGAGGCAGCUUUGCCGAGCAAGAAAGUGCCCUGAUCCCUUUUCUACCAUCUCCCGCCCUCUCAGACUUGGCCCCGGGGAGAGGACAGGAGAACACAGCCCUGGAGAACCGGGGGCCCGCCGGGACAAGGGGGUCUCAGGAAAUCGAGGCGGCCUCGGACCCUCCGGGCCCAGGCCCCCAAGGCUCGGCGAGCGCUACAGGAUCAGCAGGGAGAGCGGGACACGCUUACCACGCCAGCAGGGGCGAACGGAGCCGCGGGAGGAGAAGACUCAGAGAAGACGUCCGUUAACGGGGACGCCGCAGCCGCCACUGCUGCCGCCUCACUCAGACCGGUUCGCCUCAUGCGCGCACGCACCACCCAACCGGAAGUGGGCGCAUGCACCGCCCUCGUCGGACCUACCGGCUCUGUCUGGACCAAUCCCCAGAGACCCCGCCUCCGACGCCAGGUCUCCUCGGGCGGCCAUUGGUCCGAUGGGCACGUAGUUCCGAUUGGCUGGAAAGCGCCACGUCCCCACGAGCCCACGGAGUGGCGUGGACCUGAUUCCCGCCCAACCGUCUCCUUGGAACCCUUGCUUCUCCUCGGGAUGGGUAUCGCUCUACACCUUGCUCCCUUCCACGAGGGUGGGGGACGAAGUUCUCUGCGUGGACGGUCUCAUUUCCCCUCCCCUACCCGGAGAUGCGGGGUCGGGCGGUUGAUUAUAUUCUGAACCUUAUCUGCAACAAGUGGCAAUUAAUAUUGGGGCUCUUGGCCUCCUUGAGCCUUGGGUGCCACCUUCUCA